rnacentral:misc_RNA from 1 species
AAGUCGUAACAAGGUUUCCGUAGGUGAACCUGCGGAAGGAUCAUUACUGAGAUAGGGUCUCCUCGUGAGCCCGAAUCUCCAACCAUUUGUUAAAACUACUCUGUUGCUUUGGCAGGCCCGUCUCUCGGGACCGCCGGAGGGGUUCAAUCACCUCUGGUCCGUUGCCUGCCAGUAGCCAAUUUAAAUUCUUCUUAACCAUGUCGUCUGAUUUCUUAAUUAUAAAUUUAAUUAAAA